rnacentral:rRNA from 1 species
CCUACGGGGGGCAGCAGUGGGGAAUAUUGCACAAUGGGCGCAAGCCUGAUGCAGCCAUGCCGCGUGUGUGAAGAAGGCCUUCGGGUUGUAAAGCACUUUCAGCGGGGAGGAAGGCGUUAAGGUUAAUAACCUUGGCGAUUGACGUUACCCGCAGAAGAAGCACCGGCUAACUCCGUGCCAGCAGCCGCGGUAAUACGGAGGGUGCAAGCGUUAAUCGGAAUUACUGGGCGUAAAGCGCACGCAGGCGGUCUGUCAAGUCGGAUGUGAAAUCCCCGGGCUCAACCUGGGAACUGCAUUCGAAACUGGCAGGCUAGAGUCUUGUAGAGGGGGGUAGAAUUCCAGGUGUAGCGGUGAAAUGCGUAGAGAUCUGGAGGAAUACCGGUGGCGAAGGCGGCCCCCUGGACAAAGACUGACGCUCAGGUGCGAAAGCGUGGGGAGCAGACAGGAUUGAUACCCCUGUAGUC